AGAGUUUGAUCCUGGCUCAGGACGAACGCCGGCGGCGCGCCUAACACAUGCAAGUCGAACGGAACUUGAGGGAGCUUGCUUCCUUAGGCUUAUUGGCGAACGGGAGAGUAACGCGUGAGGAACCUGCCUCAGAGUGGGGGACAACAGUUGGAAACGACUGCUAAUACCGCAUAAGCCCACGGGUCCGCAUGGUCCUGAGGGAAAAGGAGCAAUCCGCUUUGAGAUGGCCUCGCGUCCGAUUAGCUGGUUGGUGAGGUAACGGCCCACCAAGGCGACGAUCGGUAGCCGGGCUGAGAGGUUGAACGGCCACAUUGGGACUGAGACACGGCCCAGACUCCUACGGGAGGCAGCAGUGGGGAAUAUUGCACAAUGGGGGAAACCCUGAUGCAGCGACGCCGCGUGGAGGAAGAAGGUCUUCGGAUUGUAAACUCCUGUUGUUGGGGAAAAUAAGGAUGGUACCCAACAAGGAAGUGACGGCUAACUACGUGCCAGCAGCCGCGGUAAAACGUAGGUCACAAGCGUUGUCCGGAAUUACUGGGUGUAAAGGGAGCGCAGGCGGGUAUGCAAGUUGGAAGUGAAAUACAUGGGCUCAACCCAUGAACUGCUUUCAAAACUGUGUAUCUUGAGUAGUGCAGAGGUAGGCGGAAUUCCCGGUGUAGCGGUGGAAUGCGUAGAUAUCGGGAGGAACACCAGUGGCGAAGGCGGCCUACUGGGCACCAACUGACGCUGAGGCUCGAAAGUGUGGGUAGCAAACAGGGUUAGAUACCCUGGUAGUCCACACCGUAAACGAUGAUUACUAGGUGUUGGAGGAUAGACCCCUUCAGUGCCGCAGUUAACACAAUAAGUAAUCCACCUGGGGAGUACGACCGCAAGGUUGAAACUCAAAGGAAUUGACGGGGGCCCGCACAAGCAGUGGAGUAUGUGGUUUAAUUCGACGCAACGCGAAGAACCUUACCAAGUCUUGACAUCCUGCGACGGUGCUGGAAACAGUACUUUCCUUCGGGACGCAGAGACAGGUGGUGCAUGGUUGUCGUCAGCUCGUGUCGUGAGAUGUUGGGUUAAGUCCCGCAACGAGCGCAACCCUUAUGGAUAGUUACUACGCAAGAGGACUCUAUUCAGACUGCCGUUGACAAAACGGAGGAAGGUGGGGAUGACGUCAAAUCAUCAUGCCCUUUAUGACUUGGGCUACACACGUACUACAAUGGCGUUAAACAAAGAGAAGCGAAGUCGCGAGGCAGAGCAAAACUCAAAAACAACGUCCCAGUUCAGAUUGCAGGCUGCAACUCGCUUGCAUGAAGUCGGAAUUGCUUGUAAUCGCAGAUCAGCAUGCUGCGGUGAAUACGUUCCCGGGCCUUGUACACACCGCCCGUCA
rnacentral:rRNA from 1 species